UGCACUUACCUGGCAAGGUUAAGGGACACGCUGCAUGGGACCCGAAACUGUGUUAAGUGUUCAUCUUCCCAGUUUACAGAAUGACAAUGACGGCCCCAGAAUGCAAGGAUGGGAACGAAACUGUACAAGCCUCUGCCUGCAUUCCCAUCUUUUAUUAAAAAAGCCAAAGCCACUAACAACAGAAACGCACAACAUGGGUAGUUAGUCCUUAUCUGUUAAGUAAGGAAACCUAAUCGAAGGCUUUCAACAAGCUUUGUUUGGGCAUUUUUCUGCCCUACCUACAUCAAUUAUUUCUACCCAAAAUGUACGUUAAAACAAAAGAAAAUGACACAUGAUACUGAACGGGGUUCACAAGUCAAAAGCAGAAAUGAGAAAUAUUUACUGACUUGAUCUGCACUAAAAAAAAAAAGCCAACCAACAACAACAAAAAUCAAACAAAUAAAAAGGUGAAGGAAAAACCCCCAAAGCAUAUCACGAGAACGGGAUCAGACAAGAAAGCGAGGCCACCCCUUCAUGACCAGGGGAGAAUUAACCUGCAUGUCUCCAUCCCAUUUGCAAGCUUACGACUCUGCCACCCAUUUUGUUUCAGAUUAAAGGAAAAAAAAAUUUUAAAUAGAUGAUGUCAAUAGAAGAGAAGACAACCCUCCACCCCCAGGGUAGAUGCCCUCGGUGUCUCUGCCUCGCAGGGCAGGUGAGCCCGCCGCAGGUGCCCUCCUCAGGCAUGUCCCUCUCCCGCCGCCGCCCAGGCCAUGCCCCAGUACACGUAGUUCUUGGACAUGCUGAGAACCAGCUGGCUCGUGAAACCUUCUGCUGCCCAAUGCUUUUCUGGGAAGCCACCUCUGGUUCCAGCUGCCAAUACUGCUGAACCGCUGGAGCCACAUCCCUGGGCUCUUGAGAUGUUGUGGCAGCAAAAAAGGCACUGCAAGAGCCCGCGGCUGACAGCUCCUGACAUUUUUGCUUUGUCCAUGCACAUUGACACUGGUGUUUCGCUUGCAGCUACCCCUCAGCUGAAGCCUGUCACUUGGAGAGAUGGUCCCCAACCAGGGAUUUGCCACCUUGCAUCAAGUUCAUGCACGGCUGUUCAAAGCUGGGGCAAUAAAGGGCAGCUUCUGUUGACAGAUGUGUACAGGCAGGACCAAUCUACUUCCAAAAGGUGGUGGACAUGGUGCACAAAAUAAUUUUUAAAUCCAUUAGAGGAAUUUUGUAGAACAAAUAAAACAGGUUUUCUUAAGCCACCUCCACUGGGAGUUCAAAUGAAGAUCCUUUACUUUGCCAAAGAGCAGGCAGCAGCACCCUUGUGGUUGCUUACUCAUAUCUCAGCAGAAGUGAUAGCAGAGAGAGAACCCCUGUUUUAACCUUCCAUUGCCUGAACCCACCUGCAAACAGUUCUGAGAACAUCCACAAUGUGCUUAAAGGGGGAGGACGGUCAUUACUUUCAUCCGCUACUUCCCCAUGACUCAUUUAAUGCCUCAUGUGAACAUACAGUAACAGUGAUGUCAGGAAUGAUAGAAAAACGAUUGCUGCAGAAUCAACCUCCUCUAGCAAGUGGCAAAAGACAAAAUAAAUGAGCGUGGUGCUGAGGCACGAGUUAAAGGUCAAAAUCGGCAGCACCACAACCAGCCCUUUACAAAGCUGCUUCUCAAAUCGAACUGUCCGAAUCACGCUGGGCAGACGCCGGGAAUUGUCUUUCACACACAGCUAGAAAAAGAACUCCCUGAGGCAGGAGGGAGACCUGGGCCCAAACCAAAGCUGAACAGGCAACUCACGAGCUGGAAACUGUCUGUGGCAAUACUUUUCAGUUCCUUCUUCCUCCGACAGCUGUACUAAUGCUUGUCACAGGAGUGCAAACCAGGCAAUUAUAGCAAGCAUGGAUGCCACAGGGCUGGACAGGCUCACUAUUUAUAGUUCCCCACUGACAGAGCUUUCCCACUGUGCCGCUGCACACAGGUUAAGGUACAGUCCAUGCCUUGAAAGGCUCACAGUCUAAAUAAAAAUAGAAAGAGGAAGGACUACCAGCCCCUUUUAUGAUGAAAGCCAAGACUCAGCGAUGAAAAGAUAAAAAGGAAAUCCACGGCAGAGCCUGGAACAAUGGACUCCAACUUCUCCCCCAAAAAUUGCCCUUUAUUUUGUUAACUCCUUCCCUGCCUGAAGUGCCACCUCUCCACUACCCAUAAUUGGAGCCAAACUGUCCAGCACAGUGUCACUGAAGUGUUCUUCCAAGCUCUGCCCUAUCUUGCCAUGGUUAAAUUAUCUUCCCUCCAGCAGAGGUGGGAGAAGGGAUGCGCGCCUGCUCCUAACUCCCCGAGAGCUGGGCCCGUGCCCCACUGGGAGGGUGGGGAGCAUCGGAGCAGGACAGCACCCUGGUACGCUGACCCUGCUAAAGGGAUGAUAAACUCCCCGGAGUGGAGCAGGCUGUCAGCUUCAAGCCUUCAGUAUCUCAGCCGACUGCGGAUGCAAGUCAAAGAUAGUCUCCUUUAUUUCAUAGGAGGGAUUAAAACGCGAGCUGUCUCUAAGCUGAACUUUGAAGUGUCUUCUUAGCAAUUGGAAAUGCAGUCGCUCAACAAAGAGAAACCUUUGCAAAUAGAGUUUUUUUUUUUAAUUUGAAGUUGGAGACCAACCAUUGGCCUAUUUUUAGUCAUACAUUUGAACUGGCCAUGUUACAAUCCUGCCUCUGUUCUCAUGCAAUAGAAGGCAAAGAGGAUUCACUUGACCUGCAGUGUACAGAGAAAAUAAGGCAUUUGUCUGGGAAAGAACCACCCAAAAUAGCAGUGAAGAAACCACGCUGUGACAUGAACUGUUAAGAGUUGAGACAAGAAAAAUGAAUAUUAUAGGAGGUGUUAGACUUUUUCGGAUGACAUUAAUGUAAACAAUUGCUAGAAAUUUAUAUGGUGAUGCUAACUGGUAUUUGCAGGUUUAAGGACCUGCUAAUCUUUCCCUUUUACACUGAAUACACUACAUGUAUGAGAAGAAGAAAUAAUCCUUGCUGAGGUGAGCUCUCGGCUUUCUUCAAGGAUUCUUUCUACAUCUACCUGACUUUACCUUUGCUAAAUGUGGCUUUUGGCUCGGAAACUGAUGCUCUUGCAUGGCCAAACCCUCCCUGGGCAGCGGGGUUUUGGCCAAUUGGUUUGACCGCUUGCUUUAGACAUGACGCAACACAGUAUGACAAAUGCAAGCAAACAUCAGGAUGGAGCGCAAUGGAAAUGCUGCAUCCUAUCUGACAGGUCAGUGGGAGGGAGAGGAAUUAUUUGUCCUGGUAAUAGUACAUGGAAAAGCACAGAGGCGGGGGGUGGGAUGCAUUUGCAAACAUCUCAUGUUCCCUAAACUUUUUACGGCCCCCUCAUUAGGUUUUGCAAUGUCCUAAAGCAGACAAUUAUUACUAUAUCCAUUUUCUGUCUUUCCCCUCCUUCAAGCAGCUUUUCAAGCUGGGGAAAGAACGCAGAAGACCUGACUGCGGAUGUAUUAGCUUCCCGCUAUCACGUCAGCGAGACUGUGUGAACCACGCAUUUCCCACUGACAUGGAAAGAAAGGUUAAAACCUUGCAUGACAGGUUAACAGCAUGAUUUGCAGCAACGGCUUAAAUGAAUGGUUGCAGGCACGAAAGACUAGCAGGCAGCUAAUCUUUUAAAGACUUAAGAGCAGCUACUACUUCAGUCCAAGUAAAUAUUUCAAAACAAAUUUAACUAGUGGCGACUAGAGGAUUUUUUCCCCCCUUCAACAACCCAGGCUGAAAUGGUGAUUCCUCCACAGAACUUAUGUUUUCAGUGCCAAAACUGCUAUUUCACAGGAGCAGAAAGGGUCCUCUCGUGGAAGAUUCAUCGCAAUUUUGUUCCUUACUGUAAUUGCAGCAGGGCUGGAAGAGCUGUCUGUGAAUCUCAUAGGUCCGUGUUACUGUCAGAGAGGCAAGCUCCAAGAGCAGCCUUGAUGCGGCUCCAGGGGUGGAGGACAGCAUCCAACAGAGGUACAGCAUAGAGGAAGGAAGUGUUUGCUUCCUGAUCCUUGUCACGAGUAAACUCUGUCCAUGCAGGCCACAAAAAAGACCUCCUAAUAAUGACCUUACUUCCAAUUAAAAGAAGUUUCUUAACACUUUCCUAGACACAGGUGAAAGCAUGGAAGGAAAGGCCUCCAGGUAAAAUGUACUUAACCAGUACAAAUCAAAGUCUGCCUGAGCCUGGAGAAGCAAAACAGUCAAUGAAGUGAUUUGGAAACAAUAAUUUCUAAUCCACAAUUAACCUUUUUUUCCCCCAAGAUCUCUCCCCCCUCCCACCUCCUUGACCCUUGGCUCCAUCUCGGAACAAAGCCAAUUCUCUUGGGAGGGAGGAAUCUGUUAUGGCUCGCUGAACUGUCUGGGCUAUUUUUAGUUAAAUCCAGCAUUCCUAAAAAUCUCCAGCUGCUUGUGUCUUAAGGAAGGAGAAAGGAAACGCUGUGAACGUGCACAUCCACAUUUCACACGGGGAGCGCAGAGCACAGCACGCCAGCUGCCUCGCAGCACGAGAGCUUAGCUGGGCUGAACACAGAGCUCUAGGAAAAAGGCAAAGACGAUUUCUUUUCACCAGGUAGAGAAGGCAGAAAAUGAAGGCAGGAUUGAUGACUUCCCCGAGCUGGAAGAGGCAAACCAAAGGUCUCUGCUAGCAGUAGGGAGGCCAGAGAGAUCUGAGGGCCAGGCAAUUAGCACUUACCCAUUAAACUGAUGAGCUGUGGCUCCAGAGUACAGCAACGAGGAGAGCGCCAAGUGGAAAGGCUGGAUCAGCCAAGGAGCCCAGGAGGUGCUUUGUAGGUAGAGAGCUUGCUGGGAAGAGCAGGACAAACACCCCAAGGGAUGGGCCAGGGCAAGCUGAAGGAGCAGUUUUGGGAGAGGCAGAAGAUGCGAGGGGCAGUUGUAUGAAUGGGCUGAUGCUUGGGACUUUUAAGGACUAGGCGUGAGGGGGAGGAGUAUGGAGAGAGCACAGAGAAACUUGUUUUAGACCACGGCGUAAGUGGAGCGCAGCACAAAUCUGAUUAGAAGGGACAAAACUGUUGUGCCGAGUCAUUUCUUCCUGCCCUGCAGGGUUUUUACGUUGUCUUUUACGUUAAGCAAAAUCCAUACUGCUGUAAGAGUAGCAGUACAGCACUGAGCCUCUCAGUGGCAAAUGUUGCUGAAUUUGGCUAAUUGCCGUUGACAGAAAGCAAGCAAACCCCGAGCGCAGGGGCUGGUCUAAGUGUUCCUGCAUGACGGGUACCAGAAAAGCACUAGAGAUGCUGUUGCAGAUUGUGCUGUUUGCUCAAACAAAGCAUUUGCUUUAUGGCUCUAUUUAUAGCACGAGGGUCGUAGCCAGUGUGCGCCAAGUGAGUCAUCACAUUUUCUCCCCCAAAUCUCCGCAGAUGUUUCACACAACUUCUAAGAUAUGUUUAAGUAACCUGCUGGCCAGCCCAGCCUCCUUACAAACACCCCACACUGCGGACAAACAUCCAGCCAGGCCUCGUGGAUGAGGUUAUCAAAAGAGGAAAAUACAAAUCACUGCUGAGAAAAGACAAACAAGGAAUUAGAAGUUCGUUUCCUCUUGCUACAUCACCAUGGGACCAGCAAUAGGCCUUGCUCUUCUCCCCAUCCCUUGAACCUUCAUCAGCACAAGCACAUGGAGAAUCUCAGAGAGAAGGAUCAGCAGGGAUGCCAAAAAAAAAUAUAUAGCUCAAGUAAAGUUGCUGCCUGGAGUACUUAACACCUGCUUCCCCAGGGCUGGACCGCAGUGCCUGCAGCUGCGUCCCUAUAGAGGAAUCAUGUCUCUUUACAAGGCUUUUUGUAUGGACAGAUGCAAAAUCAUGAGCCCGUAAAAAGCACAACAUUGCUGGCUCCAUGAGCCUUAAAACAAACAAGAAUUGAGAGACCAGGAUAGGGUGAUAAGCGCUUCAGGGCUGCAGCUUCACUUGGACUCAAAGCUCAGACACCAUCUCCAGGCUGGUGAAACACCUCACCACUCCCUUUGUCACUUCAAGCAACCUACAGAAGCACACUUUGAGCCUCUUCAAGGGUUUGAGAGCCAUUUGCACAACGCUUUGGAUAAUUCUGGCUCUUCCUAUUGCUCCUUUCCACUGCUGAGUUUAUCUCCAUCCCUCCUGUUUUUGCCAUAAGCCCCUUUCAGGCAGGCAUCCUUCUACAGAUCUCCCAAAAGGGACGUUAGCCAUGACCUUGGAGAUGCAGCAUCAGAUGCGAUGCUUGCUGCAAACCCUCGCUGUCCUCAGCCUUAUGCAGUGCCCGCGUUGGCAGAGACCAUCGCACUGCUUUUAGCAGCAUCGCCGGGUGCGAUGCCUCUCCUGGGAGCCCCCCGAGGUCCCCCAGCCAGCACGUGGGUAGCAGGUUGACUCCUUAGCUCUCCACUUGAAUGUCACCACUCGGUACAAGUCUGCUGCCUGACUUCCCUCCUCGGUGGAAGCUGGCUGUGGGAAGCAUUAGAAAAGUAGUUACACAUGGCAUCUUUGAGCCAGGAGCCAGUGGUGGUCAUCUCUCUCUCUCAGCUGGUGGCAUUUGCACCACCGACAGUGGUAAGGAGCCUCCUGGGGAGGAAAGGACAGGCCCCAUUCUGCCUUGGGGAGCACAAGAUGCUAUGAAAAGCGAGACCUUGCAAGCAAGGAGCAGAGAAAGAGCCAUUUUGGAUUUAGCAUCAGUUUCCAGGGCUUGUAGUUAGUGUCUGCAGCUACCCAAGGUUGCCUCCACUGCUACCUUGUUUGCUCCCCGCAGUUUGUUCACCUAGAUGUUUUGAACAGCUUGUCUACAAAAGGGAAGUUUCCUGUGAUGUGAGGAUUCUUGGGAACUUCAAUUAGCUUUGUUCACUCCAGAGAGUAAAAAAAAAAUAAAAUGAUCAAGAUAAUUACUUAAAAUGAGUUUUUGCUUUUGUAAAUUAUACACUGUAAAUUAUUUCUCUGGGACUGCUGGUAGCUCAGGCCAGAGGACUCUAGAAUGACAUUGCCAAAUGUCUUUCCAGCAACUUUAUGGUAUUAAAUUAAGUACAUAAUUGUACAAAUACACCCUACAACAGCAACAGAAGAACAUCACCGAGGAUACAUGAAUUUAAGCACUCGUAAAUAGAGCAAAGCCUAAAAUAUGGGCGCCUGUUCUUUCACCAGAGCUUCUGUGCAUAAUAACACCACAUCAAGCUAUAUAAAUGCUGACUAUUUUUUUCUCCGAGACAGCUGCCUUGCCGAGUGCCCAGAAUGGAUGAUGCUCAAUAAAGGAAAUAGCUAUUCAAUAUUAUCCUCAUUCAUCAGCGUUCGGCCAGUGCCUUACUUGUCAUGCAAGCCCUGCUCUGGAACCAGAAACUUCUUCACAGCGUUUUCCCAUCACCCUCGCCACUGUGGUGAGUCAGUUCUCCCCAAACCCACAACACCCAUGAUCUUACAGAAGAGGAACUGAGGAGCAGAGCCAUUAACGGCAGGGUUUGGCGGGACCAGCUGACACCUGGGGUCAAGGGAAGGAUACAGCUACAGAGUCCGGGAGCUCAGGGAAGGCAGCCAAGGCAGCCACGCAAAGCACACGCACAGGUCCACAGGGCGGCAGGGGUGGGAUGAAAACUGACGAGAUGCUAUUGUGAUGUACCAGUGCAGAGGGACCGGAACAGCAGUGCAAUGGCCACAGCCCCAUUUGGGAGGAAAGCUUCAGCCUUCUGUAAUGUUUUAGCAAAUAAAAGAGCCGUCAGCACUGAUUACACUCAAACCUACACCAGAGUGGCACCGCUGCUGCAGUAUGGACCAGGCUCAGAAAAGCAAAGCGUUUGCAGUAAAUUUUUCCUCUCUCUUGAAAUAAAUGUAAACUCAUGUAUUUUGCAAGACAAAAUUGAACCCUGGCUAUUAGCUACACUACAGCUAAACGAUUAAUAGACAUUUGAUUAUCUAGAGACUUACACUCUGGAGGAAAACCAUGCUUAGAAUGAAAUAUGUCAACCUCAAGAAUGUAGUUGUCUCAAUCUACAUUUUCCCAGAGGUCAACAUACCUUUUCUUUCCCAGAAGUGCCUCCUGUUGUCCAAAUUAGAUAUAAAACAAUCCCUGUAGAGAGAAAAACUUCCCUGCAGCCAUCCCUCACACAGAAAGCCCUACGAGCAGUAGGGCAGUGACUGUUCUUAUUUAUACACUGUGCUGCCCGAGGACUUUGCUUCUGUCAAAUAAAAAAUAAAUUAACUGCUUGCCUUUCCUCCAGAAAUGCCAGCACGUUCUCCUGUCCUCUAC